rnacentral:misc_RNA from 1 species
UUAACUUGUUUUAGUUAUGUAUUCAGACAUUCAAAUUUCUGGUGUGGUUUACGGCCGGUGGGCUUACGGUCCCCCCCAUGACAGGGGGGUCGCGCCACCGAAGCACAGAAGGUUGGGUUCACAAAGGGUGUAACACGCGUCCGCACCUCCCGGAGGAGGGGGACUCGCAUACGUUGGUAAUGAUCCUUCCGCAGGUUCACCUACGGAAA